rnacentral:rRNA from 1 species
GAUGAACGCUGGCGGCGUGCUUAACACAUGCAAGUCGAACGAAGCAUUUUAUUACGAUUUCUUCGGAAUGAAGAAUAAAAUGACUGAGUGGCGGACGGGUGAGUAACGCGUGGAUAACCUACCUCACACAGGGGAAUAACAGUUAGAAAUGACUGCUAAUACCGCAUAAGCGCACAGGGCCGCAUGGCCUAGUGCGAAAAACUCCGGUGGUGUGAGAUGGAUCCGCGUCUGAUUAGCUAGUUGGUGAGGUAAUGGCUCACCAAGGCGACGAUCAGUAGCCGACCUGAGAGGUUGAUCGGCCACAUUGGGACUGAGACACGGCCCAAACUCCUACGGGAGGCAGCAGUGGGGAAUAUUGCACAAUGGGGGAAACCCUGAUGCAGCGACGCCGCGUGAAGGAUGAAGUAUUUCGGUAUGUAAACUUCUAUCAGCAGGGAAGAAAAUAACGGUACCUGACUAAGAAGCUCCGGCUAAUUACGUGCCAGCCGCCGCGGUAAAAC